GGAUUUUAAAAGUUUUGGUCUCCACACAAAGGUACUUUCUCUUUUUUGUUUAAUCAUACUUGUGAAAGAAAAUGAUAGAUUGUUUGAUCGUGGAUGGUCUACAUGUGCUGUUUUUUUUUUCUUUGUCUAAUUUAUUCAUGUUUGAGUAGCAGAUAUUAACAGUAUGGAUGAACAGUAAAGUUAUCUUUAGGGAUUAGAUUUUAUGAAGGAGUUUGUGAUGUCUAUAAUUACAUAUUUUAAAGAAGGUACAAAUACCAAACUAUUUUAGCAUAUGCUCAACACUAAAUUAAUACAAAUGCUCACCACCGGAGCAAUCCAUUUGUUGUGCUUUUGUGCUUGGUCUCUGACAUUUCAUGUCCAUCAAGAUUAUUCGAUCUAUUGUGCUAUGUGCUUAAUAAAUUGAUAUUUUGUUAAUAUUAUUCAGUUAGGAUAAUAAUUUCACUUUUUCUCAAAUUAGGACAUAGGUAAUCAAAUUGGAUCCCAUGUUGCUUGGCCUAAAUAAUUUUUCAUCUUGAAUGAUGUGAGGUACAUAUCUAUAAUUAUUGUUUGUCUUUGAUAUGUCAUAAAUUAAUAAUAAUAAUAUUUUUUAUUAUUCUAGUUAUAUAAAGUAAUCCAUUAAGAAUGUGUAGGAAUACAAAGUUCCAACAAGAAUAGAUGUUGUUUGCAAGUAUGCUCGCGAGUGUUGACUAAAGCAUUAUUGAUUGAAAUUUAUCCUGGGAUCUUUGAUAAUGAACAAGCUUAAUUAUAUUUAUCAAUUGACGACAUCGUACAAUUCUAUAG
rnacentral:lncRNA from 1 species